UACCAGCACCCCGAGUGGUCGGGACGUUUUAUUGGGCCUAAAGCAUCCGUAGCCGGUUCUACAAGUCUUCCGUUAAAUCCAACUGCUUAACAGGUGGGCUGCGGAAGAUACUAUAGAGCUAGGAGGCGGGAGAGGCAAGCGGUACUCGAUGGGUAGGGGUAAAAAUCCGUUGAUCCAUUGAAGACCACCAGUGGCGAAGGCGGCUUGCCAGAACGCGCUCGACGGUGAGGGAUGAAAGCUGGGGGAGCAAACCAG
rnacentral:rRNA from 1 species